CCCGCGCUUUAUGCAAAUUUUAUGAAAUUGAACUCCACGGAAACACUUCCGGUAAAAACAAUGGCUGAUUCCACCAUUCAAAAUCGUCUAUGAAAAAGUGAAGGUCAGGAUUAUUACAGUGCGAUCACUUAAAAGGUAGGUCAGUAGUGGUUUUUCUUUUUGCGAUUUAUGAAUGGAAUGUGAAAAACUAUAUCUCGAGUGAACGCGAUUGAUAGUUUAGAUUAUUUUUACCGAUAACCGCUACGAAUUUCAGCUGACGGCGACUAUAGGUUAACAUUUAACAAAUACGGAUUUUAAAUUAGUAUACAAAUACUGUGAAUGAUUUUUAUAAUGAAUAAAGGAUAUCCCUGUGUGGCAUUCCAACAAUGACGUCACUAGGUUAGAUAUAUUUAGAAUAUUUCGUAAUACUGAUUUUUCCGGACUGUAAACGAAACGAAUAUAGUGUAAGGGAAAGCUCAAUAUACGAUAAUU
rnacentral:lncRNA from 1 species